rnacentral:rRNA from 1 species
AGUGAACGCUGGCGGUAGGCCUAACACAUGCAAGUCGAACGGCAGCACAGUAAGAGCUUGCUCUUAUGGGUGGCGAGUGGCGGACGGGUGAGGAAUACAUCGGAAUCUACUUUUUCGUGGGGGAUAACGUAGGGAAACUUACGCUAAUACCGCAUACGACUUACGGGUGAAAGCAGGGGAUCUUCGGAACUUGCGCGAUUGAAUGAGCCGAUGUCGGAUUAGCUAGUUGGCGGGGUAAAGGCCCACCAAGGCGACGAUCCGUAGCUGGUCUGAGAGGAUGAUCAGCCACACUGGAACUGAGACACGGUCCAGACUCCUACGGGAGGCAGCAGUGGUGAAUAUUGGACAAUGGGCGCAAGCCUGAUCCAGCCAUACCGCGUGGGUGAAGAAGGCCUUCGGGUUGUAAAGCCCUUUUGUUGGGAAAGAAAAGCAGCAGGUUAAUACCCCGCUGUUCUGACGGUACCCAAAGAAUAAGCACCGGCUAACUUCGUG